rnacentral:lncRNA from 1 species
GGUGUCUAUUUUGGUUGUUGGAUGUUCAGCCAAGAUGAGGAAGGAGGAGCUGGGUGGGUGGAGGUUGAGGGGGAAAUAUUGUACAGGCGGAGGCGGAGGCGGAGGCGGCGAGGACAGCAGGGGUUGGCGGAGGAAAAGGAUGGAGAGGAGAGGAGAGGAGAGAGAGAGAUAUAUAUACAGAUGGGAGAAAAAGAUUUACAGACGAAAGAGAGCGAGAUAGAUUUACA